GAGUUUGAUCCUGGCUCAGAUUGAACGCUGGCGGCAUGCCUUACACAUGCAAGUCGAACGGCAGCACGGGGAGCUUGGCUCUUGGUGGCGAGUGGCGAACGGGUGAAGUAAUACAUCGGAACGUACCCUGAAGUGGGGGAUAACGUAGCGAAAGUUACGCUAAUACCGCAUAUUCUGUGAGCAGGAAAGAGGGGGGAUCGCAAGACCUCUUGCUUUAGGAGCGGCCGAUGUCGGAUUAGCUAGUUGGUGAGGUAAAGGCUCACCAAGGCGACGAUCCGUAGCGGGUCUGAGAGGAUGAUCCGCCACACUGGGACUGAGACACGGCCCAGACUCCUACGGGAGGCAGCAGUGGGGAAUUUUGGACAAUGGGCGCAAGCCUGAUCCAGCCAUGCCGCGUGAGUGAAGAAGGCCUUCGGGUUGUAAAGCUCUUUCGGUGGGGAAGAAAUUGCUUCGGUUAAUACCUGGAGUAGAUGACGGUACCCGCAUAAGAAGCACCGGCUAACUACGUG
rnacentral:rRNA from 1 species